rnacentral:rRNA from 1 species
UACGUAGGGUGCGAGCGUUAAUCGGAAUUACUGGGCGUAAAGCGUGCGCAGGCGGUUCUCCAAGUCCGGUGUGAAAGCCCCGGGCUCAAACCGGGAACUGCGUCCGAUACUGGCAGGCUUGAAUUCGGGAGAGGGAUGCGGAAUUCCAGGUGUAGCGGUGAAAUGCGUAGAUAUCUGGAGGAACACCGGUGGCGAAGGCGGCAUCCUGGACCGAAAUUGACGCUGAGGCGCGAAAGCCAGGGGAGCAAACGGG